GAUGAACGCUGGCGGCGUGCCUAAUACAUGCAAGUCGAGCGAACAGACGAGGAGCUUGCUCCUCUGACGUUAGCGGCGGACGGGUGAGUAACACGUGGAUAACCUACCUAUAAGACUGGGAUAACUUCGGGAAACCGGAGCUAAUACCGGAUAAUAUAUUGAACCGCAUGGUUCAAUAGUGAAAGACGGUUUUGCUGUCACUUAUAGAUGGAUCCGCGCCGCAUUAGCUAGUUGGUAAGGUAACGGCUUACCAAGGCAACGAUGCGUAGCCGACCUGAGAGGGUGAUCGGCCACACUGGAACUGAGACACGGUCCAGACUCCUACGGGAGGCAGCAGUAGGGAAUCUUCCGCAAUGGGCGAAAGCCUGACGGAGCAACGCCGCGUGAGUGAUGAAGGUCUUCGGAUCGUAAAACUAUGUUAUUAGGGAAGAACAAAUGUGUAAGUAACUGUGCACGUCUUGACGGUACCUAAUCAGAAAGCCACGGCUAACUACGUG
rnacentral:rRNA from 1 species